AUUAGAUACCCGGGUAGUCCCAGCCGUAAACAAUGUGCGUUAGGUGUGUCGGUAACCACGUGUUACUGAUGCGCCGAAGAGAAAUCGUGAAACGCACCACCUGGGAAGUACGGUCGCAAGGCUGAAACUUAAAGGAAUUGGCGGGGGAGCACCACAACAGGUGGAGCCUGCGGUUUAAUUGGAUUCAACGCCGGACAUCUCACCGGAUAAGACAGCUGAAUGAUUGUCAAUCUGAAGGUUUUACAUGACUAGCUGAGAGGUGGUGCAUGGC
rnacentral:rRNA from 1 species